rnacentral:lncRNA from 1 species
UUGAAGAGAAGAGUGAAAUCCAGAACCAAAAUAACAAGCAGUUGAUGAACACCAAAUCAAGGAAGGUGGAAUGUUUAGCGGGAAGAGGAGUUCACAGAGAAAGAAAAGCGAGAAUUGCAGGGGCAUAAAUGGCUUUUUAAAUAGAUCAUGGGUUUACAUUUUCUGGGAAUAAAAGUUUCCCAAGCUAUCAGAUGGGAAUAAAAGAGAGAAAAAAUAUGUGGAACGUGGGGGAG